rnacentral:rRNA from 1 species
UGUAUGGUGGGUAGUUUGACUGGGGCGGUCUCCUCCCAAAGAGUAACGGAGGAGCACGAAGGUACCCUCGGCACGGUCGGAAAUCGUGCUAUGAGCGCAAAGGUAUAAGGGUGCUUGACUGCGACACAGACACGUGGAGCAGGUACGAAAGUAGGUCUUAGUGAUCCGGUGGUUCUGAAUGGAAGGGCCAUCGCUCAACGGAUAAAAGGUACUCCGGGGAUAACAGGCUGAUACCGCCCAAGAGUUCACAUCGACGGCGGUGUUUGGCACCUCGAUGUCGGCUCAUCACAUCCUGGGGCUGAAGCAGGUCCCAAGGGUAUGGCUGUUCGCCAUUUAAAGUGGUACGCGAGCUGGGUUUAGAACGUCGUGAGACAGUUCGGUCCCUAUCUGCCGUGGGCGUUGGAAACUUGAGGGGAGCUUCUCCUAGUACGAGAGGACCGGAGUGGACGUACCUCUGGUGUUCCGGUUGUCACGCCAGUGGCAUUGCCGGGUAGCUACGUACGGACGGGAUAACCGCUGAAAGCAUCUAAGCGGGAAGCCCCCCUCGAGAUGAGUUCUCCCCUGAGCUUUUUGCUCUCUGAAGGGCCCUCGUAGACUACGAGGUUGAUAGGCUGGGUGUGGAAGUGCAGUAAUGUAUGAAGCUAACCAGUACUAAUUGCCCGUGCGGCUUGACCAU